rnacentral:rRNA from 1 species
AACGAACGCUGGCGGCAGGCUUAACACAUGCAAGUCGAGCGCCCCGCAAGGGGAGCGGCAGACGGGUGAGUAACGCGUGGGAACGUACCCUUUGCUACGGAAUAGCUCCGGGAAACUGGAAUUAAUACCGUAUGUGACCUACGGGGGAAAGAUUUAUCGGCAAAGAAUCGGCCGGCGUUGGAUUAGCUAGUUGGUGGGGUAAUGGCCUACCAAGGCGACGAUCCAUAGCUGGUCUGAGAGGAUGAUCAGCCACAUUGGGACUGAGACACGGCCCAAACUCCUACGGGAGGCAGCAGUGGGGAAUAUUGGACAAUGGGCGCAAGCCUGAUCCAGCCAUGCCGCGUGAGUGAUGAAGGCCUUAGGGUUGUAAAGCUCUUUCACCGGAGAAGAUAAUGACGGUAUCCGGAGAAGAAGCCCCGGCUAACUUCGUGUCAGCAGCCGCGGUAACAC